AAUAGAUUGUUACGAAAGCGAUCUGCUAAAACAGAACUUAUCAAGAUAUUUUAUUUUAAGAGAAAAAACAUUUUAAGCUGCUUAUCUGAUCUUGGACUCUGUUGCAAAAUAGUUGAAACAAUGAUUUACAUGUUCUGCAAUGUUUCUGAACAAUGUGUUUGUUUACGUGAUAACUGCAGAUAUCAUUAGAGACUCAAGUGAUAAGAGUCAACAUUUCUACUUUCAACUGUAUGACUGAACUGGAUUUAUUUGCUGACUUCAAGGUGAUGCGACAAAGUCAAAUUUCUGCAGAAUAGCAAGAAAUGUUCAUAUGAGAAUCGCAAAAAGUUCGGAAAUUGCAGAGAAGUGUGUGUGUGUGUGUGUGUAUGUGUAGAUACAUACCUUUGGAGGAGUUUGCUUCUUCUAGAGGAGUUUCUGAUGUAAUGGAUGAGGAAGAAAGGCUACUUGAUCCCCGAGCUUCUGUAAUCAUAGCGACCACUUCUCUCAUAGUUGGUCUACUAGCUGGAGAAUUGCUGGUGCAGAACAGUGCAAUCUUUAGGACAAGAGACAUUUCAUGAACUGUUCUCUUAUCAUUUGUAUCUAGCCUCGCAUCAAACAUUUCAAUGGUUGGAAUCAUGUUACGGAUCGAUCGUCGAACCCAAUUGACUAGAUCCCCUCCUUGCUCCAGCGGUUGAACUGGGGGCUUUCCUGUUAUUAGCUCCAGAAGCACAACUCCAAAGCUAUAGAUAUCACAUUUCUCUGUCACCUUCAUCGUGUAAGCAUAUUCUGAAACACAGCAAAACAUCAAUUAGAUAUGUUAGAUAAGCGAUUGUGGGAAGAAAGAAAACUGUGAUGUUUUACUCACCUGGAGCGAUGUAUCCGUAAGACCCAGCAACAGCUGACAUGGACUUUGAGUAAGAGAGAUCAAUCAACUUAGCCAGGCCAAAAUCUCCAACAUGAGCCUGGAACCGUUCAUCAAGAAGAAUGUUGUUCGAUUUUAUGUCGCGAUGGACUAUUUGAGGUCUGCAAUCAUGAUGGAGAUAACACAAACCCUCUGCAGCACCGAGGGCGAUUCUAUACCGAGCAUUCCAAUCCAACAAACAGUUUUUCUCACCUCGCUGUAGUUGUUCGCCGAGGCUUCCUUUUGACAUGUACUCAUACAAGAGAAGAUUUGAAUUCUGGUGAUAGCAGAAACCAUAUAGCUUCACAAUAUUCCGGUGCCUUAUCUUUCCAAGAGUUGAUAUCUCAGCUCUGAAACUAUUAUCAGAACUAGCUCCUUCACCGCGAGAAUUCAGCUUCUUUACAGCUAUCACCUCGCCACCUGACAUUUCAGCUUUGUAGACUGUUCCACACGCUCCUCUCCCUAAAACCACGUCUUCGGAAAAGUUUCUGGUUGCAUCCACGAGGCCUUGAUAUGUGAAACCUUUUUUAGGGAAAUAGUAGCUGUCCAUGACAUCUGGUUUUGUUUGAUCCUCAAGUGCAACAAACGCUGGUUCCCGCCGCUUUAUUGUCCAACAGAGACCAAGAAAAGUGAUAAGAAAAACCGACCCGAUUACAAUACAAGUGAUUGUCAAGAUCUUUUGCCUUUGCGAACCGUUGAUUAACCAAUUUAGCUUUGAAUCAGAAUGUGGGACAAGUGGUUGACAAUGGCUUCUCUGAGAGUUACACAAACCAUGGUUUCCAGCAAAGUUCGAUGAAUCCAUCCGCUGGAACACGGCUGUGUCUGGUACUGUUCCGACCAAGUUAUUGUUUGAGAUAUUGCAGAUGAGGAGGCUCAUGAGAUUCCCAAUUGAUGCAGGGAUCUCACCUGAAAGCUUGUUGUCGUUGAGGUAAAGUAUCUCCAACAUCUGUAGAUUUCCUAAACUGUCUGGAAUAGUACCUGAGAGAUUAUUGUGACUAAUGUUGAGGGAGAUUUGCAGAGAGGUUAACUUCCCGAGCUCCACUGGGAUGUUUUCAGACAAGAGAUUGCCUCCUAGUUGUAACUCCAUGAGCCGAGUAAGAUCUCCAAAGCUAUGAGGAAUUUCUCCGGUCAAUCUAUUAUCAGACAAUCUCAAAAUCUCCAAAUAUACCAACUGACCAAGCUCUUGUGCUAUGUAUCCGGAAAACUUGUUGCCACUAAGGUCAAGCCUCUGGAUAGUGACACAACUUCCCAACUCUUUAGGGAUGUGACCAGUGAGCUGAUUGGAGGAGAUGUUAAAGCCAACAAUCUUUGUGAGAUUCCCAAUCUCAGGAGGAAUUUCACCAGUAAAAUUGUUGUUAGCUAGACGCAGUCUUUCCAAAUUCUUCAGCUUUCCCAGGUCUGCAGAUAUAUUCCCUGAUAACCAGUUUUGGUGAAGCUCUAAUGCAGUAAGGUUCUGAAGAUUAAAUAAUUCAAUGGGAAGGCUUCCUGUUAGCUGGUUAUCGCCUAGCAUUAGCUUUGUCAGUGACUUGCAGGUUUUCAGAUCACGAGGGAUGUUUCCUGAUAACUUGUUUGAACCAAGACUCAGAAGUAUUAGCGUCUGAAAUCUGCAGAAGUGGGCAGGAAUUGGACCAGACAGAGAAUUGGCAGACAUGUCAAGAACAGAAAAAUUGCUAUAGAAACCGAUUAAAGGAGGUAUCUUCCCUUCAAGCUGGUUGUCAAAAAGCUGCAAAUCUACAAGGUAAGGUAGGAACUGAAGCUCUUGCGGGAUAGUACCGUUUAGUCUAUUGAUAGACAAGUCUAGCUUCUCCAACAGUGUCAAUUCCCCAAGCUCCCUAGGAAUUGGACCUAGAAGAAUGUUCUCAAAAAGAUGAAGUAAUUUGAGAUUCAGGAUAUGACCAAACUCUUUUGGUAUGAAACCUGUUAACUGAUUCUCCGAAAAAUCUAUCUCAGCUGCAUCUAUCAAGUUGCCUAUUUCGCGAGGUAUCUCUCCGGUUAACUGGUUUGUGUAAAGGUACAGCCUUUUCAUCUUUGUGAGCUUCCCAAUCUCUCUUGGAAUUGAUCCCGUGAAGUAGUUUUCAUGCAGCGCAAGCACCUCCAGUCUGCUGAUGUUUCCUACGGAAGGAGGUAUCUCACCAGAUAGACGGUUUUGCCAGAGUAUCAAAUCAGUAAGAUUUUGAAGCUUCUCGAGCUGCUUAGGAAGAGAACCCUCAAGAAGAUUCUCUGCUAAUCCAAGUACCUUUAGGCUCUCGCAUCCGCUGAUUUCAGACGGAAUCACACCCGAGAAUCCAUUCCGUCCUGCCCUAAUGAUCCGGAGCUGUCUCAAUUUCGCCAUGGAAGGAGGGAUUACACCGGUGAGAUUAUUGCUGUAGAUCACAAGCUCUUGGAGUGAACUCAAAUUACCGAUUUGUCUAGGGAUAGAACCGAAAAGAUAAUUCUCGCAUAGAUACAGCUUCUUAAGAGUGAUGAUCAUGGUUAGCUGAAUUGGUAUCACUCCAUGGAACCUAUUUGUGCAGAGAUCAAGAACCUCUAGACUUCGACAGAGAGAUAAAUCUUGAGGGAUUGGACCAGAGAUGAAGUUGGUGGAGACAUUCAAUUUCCUUAAACCAUGAAGCUUGCAUAUGAGAGGAGAUAGUGUACCUGAUAGAUUCAUCCCAUUUAGAUCAACAGAAGUUACAGUUCUGAGAUGGGUACACGCGAUUCCGGUCCAGUUGCAGGGAUUUGAAUCCAACUGAUUCCAGCUUGCGAGAUAGCCAUUGGAGUCAUUAAGGAAAGCUUUAAACUCCAGAAGAACACGCCCUUCUUCGUUUAAGGAUCUUACUAAGAUGAAGGAGAAAGAACAGAGAAUCACUAUUGCCAAGAAACAUAUCCUCCCUCUCAUUUUUACAAGUUAGCUUUGGUAAGAACACAGAGUGAUCGCUGAACACAUAUGAAAAAAAAAAAAAAAAAAGAAUGGCGAAACGAAACGUCGAUUUGGGCAGUCACGGAAUGGUUUUGGUUAAAAGGUAAAAAGAUGAGAUUGAGAUGGGCAAAAAAGACUGACUUUGAUUGAUCAAGGAAGACUAUCUGCAAAACACUUUGGAAAGGUCUCUCUCUGUCUCUACAAUAAGUCAACUCUGUUUUUAAUUCUCUUUGUCGACGACAUCGUCUCUUUCUCCGAUUUGGUUCAUCAUAUUUUUGAGCUGCAAGUGGUUUCAAAUCACGUGUGGGUUUGUAGUACAGAUCCAUUGAAUAAAAAUGUUGGGAUCCUUUAUAGUGUUUCUCUGGGUUGUCAAUAGAAGAAAACAGAGGAUUUUGUUUGUUGGGACGGUGAGGAUUUGAUGAAGACGACACGUGAAAAAGGAUGGAUGAUUCAGGACAAUGAUCUUUAAAGUGUAUUGUUUGCUUUAAUUUCUUGGUGAUGGGUGUGAGAGAGCGUUGGAGUCUGUGAGCUCAUGAUUUUUAUCGUUGACCGUUAAAGAGCCACGCACGCACACACAAGUGGAAGUCAUUGCUGUCUUUUUCGCGCCCAUCUUGUUGUCUGUUAAUUUGCCACUCAAGCUAUGUUCUUACACUUUUACCCCUUUCUCAUCUCAAUCUCUAUCCAUCCUCUCAUCUUUAAUUUACAAGCGUAUUUUCGUCAAAAUUAAGAAGGCAUAUU